CCCUGGGCCGGGCCAGUUAUGACCCCAGGGUUUUUAUUUGAACAAACUUUGUAGACACUUACUAGAAUAUGUUUCAUGCUUAAUAUCUAAACUCUAGCUAUUUGGGUUUUUUCAAAGAAGAUUUUAAGUUUUUGCUAUACACAUAUAAGGAAAAUCAAUGACCCCGGGGCGGGGCCAAUUUUGACCCCAGGGCUUUUAUUUGAACAAACUUGGUAGACACCUAUUAGAACAUGUUUGAUGCUAAAUAUCUUAACCAUAGCUCUUUGAGUUCUUUAAAAGAAGAUUUUUAAAUUUUUACUAUAUGCAUAUAGGGAAAAUCAAUGACCCCCCGGGGCAGGGCCAAUUUUGACCCCAGGGCUUUUAUUUGAACAAACUUGGUAGACACCUAAUAGAACAUGUUUGAUGCUCAAU